rnacentral:rRNA from 1 species
AGUGAACGCUGGCGGUAGGCCUAACACAUGCAAGUCGAACGGCAGCACAGUAAGAGCUUGCUCUUACGGGUGGCGAGUGGCGGACGGGUGAGGAAUAAAUCGGAAUCUACUUUUUCGUGGGGGAUAACGUAGGGAAACUUACGCUAAUACCGCAUACGACCUACGGGUGAAAGCAGGGGAUCUUCGGACCUUGCGCGAUUGAAUGAGCCGAUGUCGGAUUAGCUAGUUGGCGGGGUAAAGGCCCACCAAGGCGACGAUCCGUAGCUGGUCUGAGAGGAUGAUCAGCCACACUGGAACUGAGACACGGUCCAGACUCCUACGGGAGGCAGAAGUGGGGAAUAUUGGACAAUGGGCGCAAGCCUGAUCCAGCCAUACCGCGUGGGUGAAGAAGGCCUUCGGGUUGUAAAGCCCUUUUGUUGGGAAAGAAAAGCAGCAGGUUAAUACCCCGCUGUUCUGACGGUACCCAAAGAAUAAGCACCGGCUAACUUCGUG